rnacentral:lncRNA from 1 species
GAUAUGGGAUAAGGUUCCUUUUGACCAAAAAGGAAGGAAGACUUGGAGGAAAUCACGAAAAAUGGACAAAACUCAAGAUAUAAAGAAGAGGAAGAAGAGCAGAGGAGGGAAGAAGGAGGAUUUCAGUAGAACAUUUUUGUGUGUAGAAUGAGUUAGGAGAGGAUUUUGAAUGCGAGUAUUUGUGGGUUUGUAGUAGACAAAGUGAAAAACAAUUAGAGACAAAUCUCAUGUGAUUUGAUUAAGUAUCAAGGGAGAUAUGGGUCGUCGAAGUUGCGGGUGUCUAAGACUAGGGCAGUGAGGAUUAGUGAAUUUCGGGGCCUUGGUUCUUAGUGACCACUUGGACUUUUAAGGCGAAAUUUGUUGGGUUUUGUUUCUAAUAAAGUUAAGAAUACUGUAUCCAAAUCUCAAGUCCAUACAACCUGUGAGCUAGGAGAUACGAAGAAAUGAGAGAGAAGGGGUGCAGAAUUUAUAGCUGCAGGGGGGGGGGGAACUUUGAAAGCUUGGUUCUCUUAGAGUACUUAACCUUUUUCAAAAUUUCUUUUUGGGUUUGAUUUCUUAUCUUGUCUACUCUAACAUAUCCAAAACUGACUUUCAUAUAUACUCUAGUUUAGGAGUUAAGGGGAAUAAUAAAUUCGGAAUUUUGAAGGCAGUGGGAGGAAAGAAUAUGUAGUGGAUUUUUAGGGUCUUUAGGGUCUGAUUUUAGGAUUUGGAUAUGUUAAACGACGUCAAACUCUUCCUUGGUCAUUUAGUUGCAAAAAUGACCUGGUGUUUUCUAUAGCAAGACCUCUGAACACGACAAUGCCUUUUUAGUUCUUAGUCUUGUUUCAAGACUUUUUAGUCUUCUUGUUUUUGGCAAUAGCUAUUCUAGUUCAAUUUUAUAUCAUCUUUGAGUGAUUUUCUAAUUUCUUUCAAUGAUACAAGAGUGUAUUGAGGAUUUUCUUUCUUCGAGAUUUAUGUCCUUCAUAAUUGAAUGCCUUUAGCUUUGAAGUAAGAACCAAGCUUACUAUUCAAGAAUUUAGUACUUUGAUCAAUGAAAAAAAAAAAAAAAAAUCUUUCUUCUAAUUCUUUUUUAUGCCUCUAUUUUUCAAGUCUAAUGAGUAAUAUGUAUUUGGUCAUUAGAUUAAGGACAUGCAACGCUACAAUAGGUAGAAUAUUCAUCAAUGUAAAUAAUUAACCAUUUUUUGCCACCAAAGCUAGUUAUAUUGGAAUAAUCAAGGUCAAAUACUAUUACAUUUAAAAUACCAUUAGUAUGCUUGUACAUAUAUAAGAAAGGGCUUUAAUAAUAAUUUAUAAUUUACAUAUAGUUUUUUUUUUCUUUAAUAUUAUUCAUUUAUUUUGCCUUAUGUAUUAUAUGCAUUGAAGCAUAUACUAAUACUUAAUGUCAUUAAAUAAGUAUAUAAUAUUGGAGUAGAGAGAAUUUGCCUCAAGAAAGAGCUGGGCUUCUAGCUGCCACUAAAUGCUCAAUCAAGUCUAAGAUAUAAAAGUACCAAGUUUAUAUAUAUAAUAUUUUCUCUUUUAGGGCAAUUAUAUCAAUACAUAAGCCCAAGUACCAAGAAAACAUCCAAAUGUAUGAUAAAGUAUCUUAAAACCUUAUAUAUCCUUAUGAGAAAUAUUUUUCAAAUUUCAACAACUCAUAUCUCACGAUCGGACCAUCCAAAAAACCUUAAAUUUUACAUGAAGUACUAAUAUACUUUCGAAAACCACCACAAAAAAAUUCAAUUGCAAAUUUGAUACAGAUCUUGAGAUAUCACCAAAACCCUAAAAGUAGCUUUAAACCUUAGCUUAUAUACACCAAUGUGCUAUUUUCUUCAUAUCUCACAAAAUAAGUACUCAAAUACCAUAAAACUUUAAUCUGUAGCUUCUAAACCUAAUAAGUCACACUUAUGGAAAUUUUGAGUCAAAAAUUUGUCCAGAAACUCAAGAUAUGACUCCAACUAUUAUUAUCAACAAAAUGACUCACUUAUUGCUUUUGAAUUACAUGUGCUGUCUUAAAUGCCGUAUAACUCCUUCAUCCAGACUUGGAAUUCAUUAAACAAUAUAUGUAAAGUAUAGCGAAAAAAGUGUUUUCUCCAAUUCCAGUUGCCGAUCUUUCUUUUCUCUCUGUAUGCAUAUAUUAUGCUUCAAAGAGUGACAAUAGGUACAAAUUUGACACCUUAAUUUUGAACACCUAUAUCUCUUUCAUAAAAACUCGAAAUCACACAAACUCUUCACUCAAAUUAUACCCAAAAUCCUGAACUUACUGACCUUAGUCUUCAAAGCUCAAAUUACUUUGAAAAAAAAACCCUAAUCCCUAAUAAGGCCUCAAACAGCCUCCUUGAAGCCAUUGGGCAUGCCCUUCAAUCAAUAGGAAUGAAGAUCCUCAUUCCUUGCCUUCAUCCAACCAUGCCUUGCUUUCAUCCCUCCCAAUAUGCCUCCUACUAGUUAAAAUUUUCUUCUUUAGGCUUUAAUCUCGUGUCAAGGCUUCAUACUAAACAUUUAGGUACUAUAAUUUUUUUUGAAAUGCUAUAAUUAAAAAAAAUAAAAUUCAAAAUAAAGUUUCUGAAAUCUACUCUCUUUAAAUUAAUUUAUUAACCAUCCUAACAUACAUCAAGACUUAUGAACAUAUUAUAUGUUUUAACUAAUUUUUACAUACUAUAAGCAAUUACAGUAUGACAACGAUUCAAAAUAGAUAAACUAAAAAUUAUCACAACUUCUUUAAUUUCACAAGGUAUAAGGUUAGUUUUAUCAGUUAGCAUACCUUGUACAAGAAAGUCACUUAAAGGCAAAAUCUAAUUGAAUCCAUUGACAUAAAAAUUAAAUUUACAACCUUUCUUGCAUAAAGUUAUAAUUGAUAAUAGAGUAUAGCAUGUUCCAAAAUCCAAUGGACAUCCUUAACAACCACAAGAAUGCAUUUUCUUACAGGAUCUAAAAUUAUAAGAUGCAUCUCACUUGAGCCUUUUGAUUAACAAUGUCAUGCACUAUUUGCCUAUUUUACCAUCAGCUUUAAUAUAUUGAUUCCUAGGAUUAAAAAAAAAAAAAAAAAAAAAAACUCUAAAAAAACUCUAAAAAAACUCUAAAAAAAUCUGUAAAAAAAAUUCUAAAAAAAAUCUCUAUAGAUUCUCUAUCCACGUAUCAAAGAUUAUGUAAUUUUUUUAUUAAAAAUAUCUUAGUAAUAACUCCUAAUGACUUGUGGAUUUUAGCCAAUACAUCUCACAUAUCUUUUGUAAUAUUGCAUUUGUGUAUAUGAAUUAAUUGCAAAAGCUUAACAUUUAGUACAAUUAAUGCUUGUGCUUUUGCUUCUUUUGAUUCUCAUUUUAAUUUUUUGUCAAUAUCCCUAGGAUAUUCUAAUGUUCCAUCUACGUGCAUGUAGAGCUUGUGGAUGCACAUCAAGUGCUUCAUAACAAAUGCCCAUGUGUCAUAGUUUUCUUCAUCUAAUUGAUUAAUGUGAUGAUCUAUUGAAGAAGAUGCCAUUGCCAAAUACAAUCAAUGCAAUAGCAACAAAUAACUUUAAAAAAACAAUUAAAAAAAUGUUCUAUAAAAGGUAAUAUUUGGAAAGUAGUAAUAGUAUCAAGCUAUAUUUGAGCAUAAGAAGCUUAUUUUCAUUGCCAUCAACAAAUAGAAUUUAAUUAAAUAAAUAAAAAAACAAUAUCAAUGGCAUUAAACUCCAACAGAAAUGAAACUCUAGCAGCUCCAGCAUUCCAAUAGUGCUCCUUGGCUCCAGCACUGUGGCAGCACUCUUGCACUCCAGCAACACUCUAGCAAUGCUCCAACAGCAACAAGGUUCCGGUAGCAAGUGGAUCAUCUAAAAGAAAUAUUCAUCUAAUUUUUUCAUCCAAAUUUUUGCCAAACGAAUUUCAUCUGCAGCCAAGGUUCUGAAACCAUGUUACCAAAACCGAAUGAAUGUCACUUUGUUGCAAACUAGAAUGUGGCAGAAACCAGAGAGACAGUAACUCUGAGAUCUUUGUUAUGUGCUGGGUAAGUCAUAGCUUUUAGUACAUAAAAUAUGAGAUAUUCAAUAUAUAUAUAUAUAUAUAUAUAUACAUACAAACAUAAAUACAAACACAGGUUUAGGAAAUAAUAUGUUGACUCUUACAAGUCUUGGCGCAUGCACAGAUUAAGGUGGUAGUAUGCACGUCGAAGUAUAACAAUAAUCCCUAAACGUCUGCCAUGAUCAACGAGUACUCAUUUUCCUGUUGUAAGACCGAAGUUAGUGGUAAGCAGCAAAACUUUCGUACCCAUUUUUAUUGAUUGCCACUGCCUAAACUCGGGCUUGGCCAUAAAUGCGAUAGAGACAUCAGCACAGCACUUUUAAGCUCAUACAAUCAGAUUGAAUCCCUAUUCUCUAUUUCACUUGGAAUUGACUUUCCUGAAGGUGAGGGUUGACUUGCUGAUGGAUUUGACUCAUUGUUGUACAGGAUGGCUGAGUUUUUAUAAGGCCCUCCUUCUACUCACUGAUCAACUCAAGCUCUCGGCUUCUCGAACCACGGAGGCGCUCAGCGGCGGUGUUUUACGUGCCGUCCUCCACUUUGUAGCAAUCUAGCAAUGGAAUCUACCGUCAUCUGUACUAGUGCUCAACGUAUAGGUUGUGAACCAUGCUGUCUGUCAAGUUGUGAGUGUGUGUAACUGAAGUUGCGUAGAACCAGUCAUCGAUCUGCAGGUACUUGGACGGAUUAAUGCGUCAGUUCGCACAUCGCCGUUGAUCGUUAAAAGCGAUUGAAUCUCUCUACUCGUCUCUGUACAGCGUCUAGAAUUAACGGACGGUGACGAUCGAGGUAAGGACUCAGUUCCAUUCAGGGUUUGAGUUGAAAAUCGAGAAGGUCUGCUUUGCCGGUGCUCAGUUUCACUGGCUUGGAAGUGGCAGUUAUACAUACAGAGUUUUUUGGACUGUCCACGCAGCGCAGGUGGAUUUGAAGAAACACACCGGUUUGGGUGGUGAAUCGAAACUUAGUCGAGAGGAACUGGGAUGUCAAUAGUCUCUCUUUGUCGCUGACGAGUCCGAGAGCACCCUCCUAAGUUGGAGAAAUCAUGAAUUACGGUACCAUCUCUGGUUCUGCAGAGGCAGUCGUGAACGACGUGCGAGAUAGUUGUAAUACAUCCGGGUGGUCCUUCCAGAGCUACCAUGUCGAUGAU